rnacentral:lncRNA from 1 species
UCUCCUUUGCUUUCUAAGUCUCUAAGUACAGAGAGAAAAGAAAGCUCAGUAAGCACUUUCACUCGUGAUUUAGGGCGAUUUAGAGUUGGAUUUGGAGGAUGAUGAAGUUGAAGAAAAGAUAGAUUAAGGUAAGAUCUAUCCAUUUUUGUUGGUUUCAUUCGCAUGCACGAUGUUUUUAUUCUAUUUGAUUAGUUUCUAAGUGUGUAUUCUAUGCUUAGGUAGGAGAGGGAUAUGCUCAGGUAGUCAUGUUUACAUUUCAAUGCAUUUACAAUGAUAUCAUAUAUUAUCCUUUAACAGUUUGUUUAAAAUGUUUCUAUGUGCAGGACACACCUGAUGUUAAUUGGGGUGAUGAGAACACCCAACGCGGCGUCAACAUAGGCCUCCGGGGAGCAUCACAUGAUCAUGGCGUCAACACAGGCCUCCGGGGGAGCAUCACAUGAUCUUGGCGACACGGUUACGUCAUUAGUUACAGAGUUCUUCGGAGGGGACGUUAUUGGCCCAUCUUUUAUCCCCCGGAGUCACAACCAUACGCCUACAAUUAUGCUUCAGGUUCGCAACAAGGAUUCGCGACUCCACCACCUACGCAGGACUCGCAGACACAUGAAGCCGAAUUGGAGUACGACCGCGGUCUUCGUGUGCCCCGGCCACCUAAUCGCUUGUCGCCUUCCGGUCGUAAGGAAAGGCCAGGUGGUCGUCGUUAAGUAGGGUGAUUCAUCUAUGCACGUGCGCGACCCAUUGUAUCUACAUAUGUGUGUAUCAGACUUUUCAAUUUGAACAUCUAUGUAUGCUGAAAUAAAAAUGCACCGGUCAGGAACAAUUUUUCCCGCCUAUAUCUCCCGUCAUACUAUCCCGCUCCACUCUUU